GUAACGCCUGCCCAGUGAGUCUUACUUAAACGGCCGCGACUAAACGUGCAAAGGUAGCGCAAUCACUUGUUCCGUAAAUAGGGACCUGUAUGAACGGCCACAUGAGAAAGAAACUGUCUCUUGAAGAUAGCCAAUGAAACUGAUCUACUUGUUCAAAAGCAAGCAUAAUUAAGCUAGACAAAAAGACCCUGUGAAACUUAAAGACAAGCAUUAAACAAACUAAUGCCCAACUUUUAGUUGGGGCAACUUUAGAUACACUAAACAUCUUAAACAUUCUAAACCAACAAGUUAAAACUACUCAACACAAGAUCCGGUACAACCGAUCAACGAACCAAGCUACUCCAGGGAUAACAGCGCCAAAUUCUUUAAGAGUCCACAUCAACAAGAAUUCUUACGACCUCGAUGUUGGAUCAGGAUAUCCAAACAGCGCAGAAGCUGUUAACGGCUCGUUUGUUCAACGACUAA
rnacentral:rRNA from 1 species